CAGCUAUGAAGGCCCAGGUGGCAGGGAGGAGAAACAAAGGAGAGGCAAAGUCAGUGCAAGCGGGUACUCCCAGGACAUGGAGGCAGCGCUGCCCAGCACCCCCCAGAGGAAUGCGCAGACGGAACAGGCAGAACCUGGCAACCGCAACAGCGAGGCCUGCCGCCCCCCAGGCAGAGAGAUAGGAGACAGGGGCCGUGGUGGCAAUGCAGGCUCCCUAGGCCUCGUUCGGAAAGCUCCUUCACCUUUCCUGGGAGACCGGGUGAACGGGAGCUGAGGCCGAGUGAAGGGAAGGUGUAGCAUUCACAGUGCUCAUUCUUCUCACCAAAGAAGCCCUCGCCAUAGAAGCACGUCACCUCAUCCCCUGGCUCAAUGUCACGGAGCACCUUCACGCAGGCUGCAUUCCCGUCUGCGGGCACAAACUGAGGGCCAAGCCUACUCAGUGCCAGGACCUGGGCCCAGGGGAGGACUGACCCAUUCCCCAUGCCUGGCCAGGCACCCGGGGCCUGAGUGUCCUCUCCUGGAAUGGGGCGACAGCUGAGCCCCAAAAAGUGCCAUUCCAAGGCGGCUGCCCUGCCCGGGGCCUGUCCUUUGCCUAUAGCCCCUAGACAGUCCACCCACUGGCUGGUUUCCAUGCCCCCUGCAGGACAAUGAUCUAACCUGACCUUCUGGCAGCGUGCAGUGCCAGCAGUGGUGACCACUCCCUCUGGCCUCUGUGGUCUGAAGCCAAGCCCCACCUCCUCUGCCACACCCAAGCCCCUCCACCUCCUCUGCCACACCCAAGCCCCUCCACCUCCUCUGCCACACCCAAGCCCCUCCUGUCCUCAGCUGCCUGCUCCCCCUGCAAGGCCACCUCCCAUUCUGCCUCCACUCCGCAGCCCAAUCCGUGUGCUCUGGCCCUGCCUUUGGGAUCAUUCACCCAGGUGCUGUUCCACAGGCCCCACACAGCCACUAACCCUGCCUAGGAGGGGCAUGACCACUCUCCACCCAAGUGUCCACCUACCCAUCCGCUCCAGCUUGACACUUGUCUGGGAGUGGCCUCGUCACCUGCCUACCUGAUGGUCCCCAGCACAACCAGCCACUGCCUCCUGAGUGUACCACCUCCUGCACCCUCGUCUUCCUCCCAUCCCUGAGACCCCUGUGGGGUUAGCCCCUCAUCACCUGUUUGUGGCCACCCUGCCUCCAGCCUCUCCCCUUCCUGCCAAGCCUCCUGCACCUGGGCCUCCAGGGUGAUCUAAAAACCAAGCCUCCCAUUAUACACCAUGGGGGGAGUAUGUGGCACCCUGGCCCAGGCCACAAAGCCUUGCUGCCCAACCAAAGCUGUCACUAGGCACCCCCAGCCCUCUGGUGUGCCAUGUCCUGUUAGACGCCCUCCUUUGCCCCCAAUUUCUCCCAGGGAAAUUCUGCUCCUCCUCAGUGCCCAGCAUGGCAUUGCUUCUGUGAAGCCAGAUGGAUCUGGCUUGCUGGCAAGCUGGCCGCUCUCUCCUGUGCUAAGGUGACUGGUGAACUCGCCCUGCAGAGUGUCUCCGAGGGCUGCCUUUUGACUCCAUCCCCACAGUGUCUGUGGGUGGUGCCAGAUCAGGCCCCAACUUUGCUGUCCAAAACCCUCCGGCACACUUGCCUGGCCUGCAGAGCCCCUGGGCAGAUCCUCAGCGGCCCCAUCUGAGACGAGGACCCAUGGCCAGGGCGGCAUAGCCAGGACCCCACCUCAGUUCUGACUUUGGAGCCAAAGACCUGGAUCCCCUUGUCAUGCCUCCCGGGGUGCCCCACCGAGGUCUGCGCUCCAGAGGGUGCCCCCUCAAUGCCUUCCUGGAGCCAACCCUCCUCACUCCUUCCACUUCCCAGCUACAGGACAACUAGCAUCGUCUCCUCAGUCUGUCUGGACACCAUCCUGAGUCCUAGGCCCGGGGAUCUCUGGCCUCACUGCUCUUGCCACCACAGCGGCCUGUGUUCUUCCCUGCAAGACUGGAGGGUCCCCAGCACAGGCCCCUGCCUCCCUGUCCCCACACUCCCUGCUCAAACUGGCACAGCUCCCAGCUUGGUUUUCAGAGAAGAUGGCCAGCAGCUGGCAGCCAGGGUUCCAGUGGGACUGCACAGAAAGCCAGGCAACAGUGGCCACUGGAGCCCCUUCCUCCUCUGCAGCAGCCUUGUGACCAAACACCCAUUCUGCCCCUUCCAGGGUCGGUGGGAAGCCAUGGAGAUAUGGGACAGCAUUUGGCUCUUGAUUGACCAAAAGGUCCCUGCCCCGGGCCACAGGUGCCUUCCUUCCUGAAGGCCUGCUCCUCCCCAGUCCCAGGGUCUCACCUUGCAGUUGGGUUUGCAGUCUGGAUCCAGUCAGGGCAAGAGAGAGAAGAGAGGUGGGUGAGCUCAGGAGCCCAGUCACAGAGCCCUCCCACUACACCCCUCCAGCCCCGCCUGGCCCCACUCGUCCUGCCCAUCCACCUGCCUGCCCUCACCAUGGUUGAUGAAGGCGGCGGGGCCCAGCCACAGCUGAGCACUCCGCUUGCGGGUGGAGUACAUGAUGCUGAAGUCAUUCUCGCCGGCCCUCAGCAGCCCCUCGUCUGCCUCCCGCAGCUCUGCAAUGCAGCCCACCAGCAGCUCCAGCUUCUCAUUCUUCUUCCUGCCAAGAGGCCAGCGGGCAGGGCUGUGAGCAGUGCAUGGCCGUCGGGGAACUGGGGCACAGAGGCACCCGGGAGGCAGGGACCCCUGUGUGCUGCUUGCUGCCGGUUGAUCCUUCUUCCAUGUCUCUCUCUCCUUCCUUCCCUCCUGGGGGGGCUUCCCUGCUCCAGCCCACAGCCUCACAGGACCCUUCAGCUGAAAGCCUUCAGGAUAGCACAUACACAGCAGAUACAGCCCCAUCCCCUCUCCUCGCUCUCACAGCACCUCCUGCCCCCAACUCCCUCCUGCCAAGACCUCCUUCUACUCGCCACACCGGACCCUCAGCCUGGUGCUUCCCCUCAGUGUCAGCCUUGCCCUGGGAGCAACUCUCAUUCCCAGCGCUUCUGGAAUGAGCUUGGACCAGCUGGGACCAGCAGCUGCACGUUGACUUGUCUGCCACCCGCCUCCUCACCGGACUGUGAACCCCGCAGGGGCAGGGUCUCCUCACCAUACUCAGGUGGGGGCUCAGAUCACGAUGAGGUAAGGACAGCCUCAACAGAAGCCUAGUUCUUUCACGGAAGCCCCAAGAACCCUGGGGUCACACCUGGGGUUUCCUGCUCAGCAGCACCAGGGUAGCCACAAAGGUCUUCUGGGAUUAGCCUUGCCACCCUCCUACGAUGCCCAGAGGACCAGCCCCUGCUCUUUUCCCUGGUUGGCCUGUCCACGAACAGGGCUCUCUUGUCCCCUCCGAGGAAACCCAGAGGAAGUCCUGCCCCCUUACCAAGCACGAGUGGACACAAUCUUGGCCCCGUUGGUCUCCAUGGAGUAUCGCGUGCAGGGCAGGAUGGCAAAGCCACUUUCUGGCAGGAAGGCACGGAGGUAGCGAUAGACCUGGUGAGGGUGAGGGUGGGGCUGAGGAGGCGGGGCAGGGGCAUCGUCUGCCCCCUCUCUCCAGGACUCUAGGCUUGCUCUGCCACUGACUCACUGUGUGGUCUCAGGGGCCCCACGUCCCCUCUUGGGGCCUCAGUGUCCUCAUCCAUCAAACGAAGAGGUUGGACUCCAUCUCAGAGGGAGGGACCCCCCAACUCUCCUCUCCUAGGAUUCUCUGAGCCUUGCCUCAGAUGGUCCCAAGGGCUGCGCUGAGGGGCUCUAGAGCGUCUGCCAGGCGGGGCCAGGCCGGGUGAGCGGGAAGGACACGCGGCGAGGGCAGGGGAGGGGAGGGCUCCCUCACGUGGGUCUUGAGGGCAGCCUCCUGCCGCGGGCCCCGGCUCUGGAAGUAGUGGGUCAUCCAGCCUCCCAGCGUCAGGGCCCGGUACGCAGCCUCCAGGUCCCGCUGCCUCAGGAAAGCUUCCAGCGCUGAGCGCAGGUGGUGCUGUCGCCGCAGGGGGGGCACAGGGCUGGGGGAGAGGCAUGCCUGGGUCCCAGGGCCUUUCCGGGCCCCGGCCCCAACCCCCACUUGGAGCUGAGGGGAGGACCAGGCUGAGAAGUGGGCUGAGGGAUGGCCGUGGUACGAGGGGAGGGGUCCUGACCCCUCGGGCCCACCCUCACCCCCAGGCAGCCUCACCUGACAUUCAUCUUAUGGGUGCGGAAACCGAGGUAGGGGUCUAGGACGAGGCUGGUGGCCAGGUCGUCGUUCUCACACAGUUCUCGUGCUGUCACUCUGUCGGGCCCCAUGGUACCCCUCGGACCAUGCUGCCUCUGGCAGAGAGCAGGGGCAGGUGAGGGCAAGGCGGGUGUGGGGAGCCUGGCUUGGUGCUGACUCCACUCCUACGCUACUCAGAAGCGGUGGGGGAUGCUGGCGAGCCCCAAGACCUCAUCUGCAAAAUGGGGAGAAAAGCAGUGCUGACUUCGCCAGACUGCUGGCAAAGAUGGAACGCAGCAAGUACUUCUGAGAGUGGGGAAACCCAGAGUGAUGUCAGUCAUCACCUUAGCGUCUCUAUCCCCUCUCCUUCUGCAGCGCAGACUACAGCCCCCACGUGCAAACGGCACCAGGCACACCCAUGCAAUGUGCACAGAGACACCCUCCACACACAUAUCUCUACCGGCCCAGGAAAGGCUGACUGGCAGCCAGGAUCACCCUAAAGGCUUAGCACCGUGGGGAGCGGCUUCACCUCUAGCCCUCAAGGAGGAAAAGUCAAAGCUUCCCGCCAGCCGGAGAGCAAGGAAAGAACUGAGAGGAAGAAAACAACCCAAAACCCCAACGCGGACAGACGGCCAGUCGUGUCCCCGCACCAGGUCGCCCAAGGCUCAUCUGCGCCCGGGAGAAAAUGAGACCGGGCAGGGCAAGGAGCGGGAGCUGCAGAGACGGCGGCAGAGGGGUCGGGAACAGACUGGGAGGCUGCGGGAGAGAAAGAGGGGGCGCUGCAGGAGGGCGCCGGGGACGGCGGGGGAGCUGGAAAGGAGGCUGGGGGCAAAGACAGAGACGCACAGUGGUGGGGACGGCAGGGGGCCGCGGGAGGGAGAAGGCUGCAGCCCGGCCUGGGGGUGCCCAGAGGAUGUGAGGAAGGGAUGGGGGUGCCAGGAAGGACAGAGACAGGGGGAAGGCCUAGAGACCCAGGGAGGAACAAGACGGGGGACGGCAAAGUGCCUGGGCGUCCAGUGAGUGAGGGGCCGGAGAGGGCAGACAGCGACCCCGGGAACCAGACAGGGCUUUGUGGGGUCCUGAGGGACCCCGGAAAGGGAGACCCUAGGGAAGGACCUGGGUAGGCGGUGAAAGCCCAGGGCAAGGGACCUGGAGGGUCAGAGGCCGACCUCAGGGUCCAGAGAGAACGAGGAGAGGGACAGGGGGUCAGCGAGAGGUUCUGGGGCACAGAGAGACCUAGAGUGUGCAGGAGGAGGCCUGGAGGGUGGGGGGAGGUCAGGUAUUGGCCCUGGGGGUGCAAGGAGGGCGCAGGGGCGAGAAAGGGGUCAGGAAGGCCCUGGGGGUGCAGGGAGGGCGCAGGGGCGAGAAAGGGGACAGGGAGGCCCUGGGGGUGCGGGGAGGGCUCAGGGGCGAGAAAGGGGACAGGGAGGUCCUGGGGGUGCGAGGAGGGCGCAGGGGUGAGAAAGGGGACAGGGAGGUCCUGGGGGUGCAGGGAGGCCCUGGGGGUGCAGGAAGAGGCCUGGAGGGCGAGGUCAGGGGUGCAGGAGGCGGCCUGAGGGUGCAGGGAGGGCCGUGGACGUGAUAAGGGAGUCAGGAAGAGGCCCGGGUGAGAACGCACAGGG